CACUUAGCAAUUAGCACUAGCAGCAUUAGAAUUUAGCACUUAGCAGCAGUUGGCGACGACGGCGAGCGACGAACGGUGGACACCGGACAAUGAGCGACGAACAGCGAACCUACCAGAGCGACGAACGACUGAUAGGCAGCAACUCAACGGCAAAUCAGAUGACUGAUGAAAGUAGAUUUAGUGUGGCUGGUUCAACUGAUAGUGUAGCUGAUAAUAGUAAUGACAACUCAGUUGACACUAUGGAUGCAAAGAAAAGGAAAGAAAUGGAAAGUAGAUCUACUGUUUGGGACUGUUUUAGCCUUUUAGGCUGCUACUAUUUUUGGUUUUUAUGCUAUUACUUGCUUCUAUUUCAGCCUUUUAUGUUGUUAUUUUUCUUUUAUUUUCUAUAGAAUGGACUAAUGGUUGUUAAUGCCUAUUUGAUGUAUGUAUUUGGCCUAUUGAGUAUUGCCUAUUUCUGCAUGUAUUGUUAAAUUACUAUUAUACUGGUAAGUGGGAAGGCGACAAAUAUUGGGUACUUUCUACCAGCUUUGAAGCUAUUGGUGAGGAAAUUGGAGAAGAAUUUAUGCAGUGACUGAUCAAAGAUUGCAGAAAAAUAAGGCUGAUAGUCUGAUACUGAUAAACUACAGACAAGGUUGAGGUAUGAAGGUGGAAUCAUCGCACUGUUGGGAAUGGUGAGAUGUAGAUAUCUAGACCUUCUGUCUCAAGUUGGUAGGGGAAUUGCAAAUUUUGCAAAGUGCGAGUCGAUAGUUUCAACUCAAGUUCAGAAAACUGCGCAGUCUUCUCUGAUAGAAGAUGGUGCACUAACAAUGGUUGUUCAGAAUUUCAAUAAGUUGGCCCUUCGUCAUUUGGCAGAACUUAAGGUCUAUGCAAGAAAGAUGAUCAGUAGGGGUGCCCUUUGGGAGCUAAUUCAUAUUUCACGUGAUUGCUCUCGAGAUGACAUAAGGUCUCUUGCAUGUCAAACUCUUUCAAGUCUAACUUUCCAAGUUAAAAUGCGACGCUUGAGGAUAGAGUUAGAGUUAUCUUAUUGGUUUCACUCCAGGGUAUUGAGACAACACUAAUUCUUGAAAUGUCCUUGCAUCAUGUACAUGAAUGAACCAAUCCCUAAAAGGAAGUUGCUCACAGUUUUGUAUCAAGGGAGUGCAAUUUCGAUUCAAACUAGCUAAGUAGCUAUUCUAUGAAGCUGUAAACCAUUCAGAUGUUCCAAAUCACUCAUUCACUGGGAAUUUAGUAGUAUUAAAGAUGUAGUGUCUAAGUUCGAUUCCUUUUAGUCGGAUCACGGAUGUGUAGCAUUUCUGUUAUCCAGCUACUAGUUGUGUGUGUCCUUCGGAUUCUUGUGAAGUUGCUCUUCUUUUAUAGUUCUCAGUUGUUACUUUUCAUUUGUUUAAUGUGUUUGAAAUGAAUAUGCUAUGUAUUGUGUACUUAUGUAAUAAUGUAAUGCCAUUUUACUUUUA